CGCCCCGUCCCCUCCUUCGGCGCUUGCGCGCGUCUUCCCCCGCGCCUCCUUCCUCACGCCUUUCCGGGCAGCUAGGCGGUAGGUGUGUGGGUACCGGGCCUGGAGCAAGCAACCGAGCCAUUGGUGGGCUGCGGCGGUGGUGGGGUCGGCGGCGGCGGCAGCAGAGCGGGAGAAGGAGUGGGACCCCGAGCACGGGGCCCUCUUCAACCUGGGGCCCUGGGUGAAGUGCUCUGCCGCCCUUGCCUCCAGUUACAGAUCCUGCAAGAGCUGCAUGUUUGUGCAUCAUAAAACAUCAAGAAGUAUGUUAAAAGCGUAUGCCUAAUGAUCUUCUCAGAGAACAUUCCACACGUACUUUGAAGAAUGUGUAUUCUGCUGCUGGGUGAACCCAUCUGUGUAUGUCUGAUUCUCCCAGCUUCCCGUGGAGCCACACCGCCUCCUGUCUUGGCACUUCAUAAGUCCAAUGCUGCUUCCCGAGAGGAUCUGGUUGGCAGACCAUGACCUUGAUUCCUGCCUCCAAGCCUCACUUGUUGGCACUAGAACAGUGCUUCUUAUAGUGCACUCAUCAGCGGAUGCUGAAGUCACAACCUGGCCAUUUGGAUGUUCAGCUAAUGCUUUAUGCCGCGGAGUCCCUGCCACUCACCAGCCCGUGCCGGAACUCACUGGAGCUCAGGCUGACGGCGCAGGUGGAAGUGGGGAGAGCACUUACGCAGCAAGACAUCCAGCCUGGCUUCAGAUGCUCCACUCCAGGCCUCUCUGAGAAGACACUGCAAACAGAGAAUCGGGAGAUCCACUGCUGAACGUGCCCAGUGGUCAUGCCUGGCAGAAUCAAGUCUAAAGCUGCUAUUUGUACCCUGGCUGGAGUGCAGUGGCAAGAUCUCAACUCACUGCAACCUCUACCUUCAGAUUCAAGUGAUUUGCCUGCCUCAGCCUCCGGAGAAGCUGGGCCUUCAGGUGUGCACCAUCAGGCCCAGAUAAGUUUUGUACUUUUAGUAGAUACAGGAUUUCACCUUCUUGGCCAGACUGGUCCCAAAUUCCUGACUUCAUACGAUCCUCCCGCCUCGCCUCCCAACAUUCGUACACUUUUUAAAGUCAUCAAUCUGCUUGAAAAGGGGAUACACAUUUUAAAUCUUCUCCCCAGGAUGGAGGAGACAGACACACAACUUCAACACAAUGACAAGGAUUUCAAGUGACUCAGUAAGUUCCAUCAGGUACCCUUGGGUAAGAACCCUUGAAAAGCAUCUACUAAGAUGAAAAUGAGCCUGGACAACAUAGUAAGACACAUCUCCACAAAAAAAGAGAAAAAAAUAUAGAGAAGGGCAUGGUGGCACAGGCCUUAGUCCCAGCUACGUGGGAGGCUGAGGCAAGAGGACCACUUGGGCCCAGGGGUUUGAAGCUGCAGUGAUCUAGGAUCAUGCCAUUGCAUCGAAGACCUUGUAAAAGAAAGAGACAAGUGGGGGAGGGAAAAAAG